UAAAGUUUUUUGGUAAACCAGUUACGAGUCAGUAAGGUCACUUAGUCUUGUCUGUUGCCAUUUAAGAAAACCACUUCACACACUAUUUCUCGAUUUUCUGUGUUAACUGCCUCUGGGCAACUAUUAUUUUAAAGGAAUUGGUAAAAUGGCAAAGAUUAAAGGUCAGGUUAAGUGGUUUAAUGAAUCCAAAGGAUUCGGUUUCAUUACUCCUGAAGAUGGCAGCAAAGAUGUAUUCGUACACUUCUCUGCUAUCCAGAGCAAUGGCUUCAAAACUCUUGCUGAAGGUCAA
rnacentral:other from 1 species